AGGAGCCGUAUGCGGUAAUUCCGCUCGUACGGCUCUGUGCGGGGGGCGGUGGGUAACUACUGUCUCUACCGCGAC
rnacentral:misc_RNA from 1 species